AUUGAACGCUGACGGCAGGCCUAACACAUGCAAGUCGAACGAGUGCCGGACGGGUGAGUAAUGUCUGGGACACUGCCUGGUGGAGGGGGAUAACUACUGGAAACGGUAGCCAAUACCGCAUACCAUCAGAUGUGCCCAGAUGGGAUUCGCUUGUUGGUGGGGUAACGGCUCACCACGGCGACGAUCCCUAGCUGGUCUGAGAGUAUGACCAGUGACACGUGAGCUUGGACACGGUCCAGACGCCUACGGGAGGCAGCAGUGGGUAAUAUUGCACAAUGGGCGCAAGCCUGAUGCAGCCAUGCCGCGUGUAUGAAGAAGGCCUUCGGGUUGUAAAGUACUUGCAGCGGGGAGGCGUUACCCGCAGAAGAAGCACCGGCUAGCGCCGUGCCAGCAGCCGCGGUAAUUC
rnacentral:rRNA from 1 species